ensembl:snoRNA SNORA73 Small nucleolar RNA SNORA73 family
CCAACAUGGAUACCCUGGGAAGUCACUCUACCCAGGCUCUGUCCAAGUCACGUAGAGGAGCAUAGGGCUCCACCCCAUGAUGUACAGUCCCUUUCCACAAUGUUGGAGAUGAAGCUGGGCCUUGCAUCUGCACCUGCAUAUUCCUACAACUUCUCAGAGUCCUGUGGACAAUGACUAGGGAGACAAACCAUGCAGGAAACAUGU